AGCGAACGCUGGCGGCAGGCCUAACACAUGCCAGUCGAACGAACCUUUCGGGGUUAGUGGCGGACGGGUGAGUAACACGUGGGAACGUGCCUUUAGGUUCGGAAUAACUCAGGGAAACUUGUGCUAAUACCGAAUGUGCCCUUCGGGGGAAAGAUUAAUCGCCUUUAGAGCGGCCCGCGUCUGAUUAGCUAGUUGGUUGAGGUAAUGGCUCACCAAGGCGACGAUCAGUAGCUGGUCUGAGAGGAUGAUCAGCCACAUUGGGACUGAGAUACGGCCCAAACUCCUACGGGAGGCAGCAGUGGGGAAUCUUGCGCAAUGGGCGAAAGCCUGACGCAGCCAUGCCGCGUGAAUGAUGAAGGUCUUAGGAUUGUAAAAUUCUUUCACCGGGGACGAUAAUGACGGUACCCGGAGAAGAAGCCCCGGCUAACUUCGUG
rnacentral:rRNA from 1 species